CAGUCGACGGUGAGCUCCAGCUUGCUGGAGUGGAUCAGUGGCGAACGGGUGAGUAACACGUGAGCAACCUGCCCCAAACUCUGGAAUAAGCACUGGAAACGGUGUCUAAUACUGGAUACGAGACCAACCUGCAUGGGUAUGGUUUGGAAAGUUUUUCGGUUUGGGAUGGGCUCGCGGCCUAUCAGCUUGUUGGUGAGGUAAUGGCUCACCAAGGCGACGACGGGUAGCCGGCCUGAGAGGGCGACCGGCCACACUGGGACUGAGACACGGCCCAGGCUCCUACGGGAGGCAGCAGUGGGGAAUAUUGCACAAUGGGCGAAAGCCUGAUGCAGCGACGCCGCGUGAGGGAUGACGGCCUUCGGGUUGUAAACCUCUUUCAGCAGGGAAGAAGCGAAAGUGACGGUACCUGCAGAAGAAGCACCGGCUAACUACGUGCCAGCAGCCGCGGUAAUACGUAGGGUGCGAGCGUUGUCCGGAAUUAUUGGGCGUAAAGAGCUUGUAGGCGGUUUGUCGCGUCUGCUGUGAAAAUCCGGGGCUCAACCCCGGACUUGCAGUGGGUACGGGCAGACUAGAGUGUGGUAGGGGAGACUGGAAUUCCUGGUGUAGCGGUGAAAUGCGCAGAUAUCAGGAGGAACACCGAUGGCGAAGGCAGGUCUCUGGGCCACUACUGACGCUGAGAAGCGAAAGCAUGGGGAGCGAACAGGAUUAGAUACCCUGGUAGAAUCACUAGUGAAUUC
rnacentral:rRNA from 1 species